CAAGUACGUGAACUGCUGAACCUAAAUAUCCAGUAUGAGAAAUGAGGAGGAGUAUUAGAGGUUACCACGAAAUAUGUAUAAGUUUAGUCAUUAUUAUGAGUAUAUUAUUUUAUAAUGUAUUAAUAAUGUGCAUUUUUUUCAUAUUGUAAUCUGUUAAUACAAUUUAUAUAUUCUUUUAUAUAUAGAGUCAAUGUAUAAGGUUUAUUUUUAUCAUAACCGCAUAUAAAUUAAUUAAUUUAUUAAUUAAUUGAUGUAAGAUCGAUGAAUUUCUAGAUAAAUAGUUAACAGUUAAGGACAUAUAUAUGUUAUUAAAAUAUAUAACGCUUACAUCCUUUUUUAUGUUUUAUAUCUAAUAUGGACAUUAGUAACAAUGCUCAGGAGACGAUUGCACCAAUAGUAUCUAUUGCCGU
rnacentral:rRNA from 1 species